rnacentral:rRNA from 1 species
CGGAGAGGGAGCCUGAGAAACGGCUACCACAUCCAAGGAAGGCAAGCAGGCGCCGUAAAUUACCCAAUCCUGAUACAGGGAGGUAGUGACAAUAAAUAACAAUGCCGGGCCAUCAUUGGUCUGGCAAUUGGAAUGAGAACAAUUUAAAUCCCUUAUCGAGGAUCAAUUGGAGGGCAAGUCUGGUGCCAGCAGCCGCGGUAAUUCCAGCUCCAAUAGCGUAUAUUAAUGUUGUUGCAGUUAAAAAGCUCGUAGUUGGAUUUCGGAUUGGAGCGGCUGGUCGGCUCCGCAAGGGGUCGUAACCGGAUUCGUCUCUGGUUCUUAUCUCGGGUGUUUCUGGUGUGGCUGGCAUUCAUUUGUCGGUUGCAUUGGGCCCGUCGUUUACUGUGAACAAAUUAUAGUGUUCAAAGCAAGGUUUAGCUUGAAUACAU